GAUGAACGCUGGCGGCGUGCCUAAUACAUGCAAGUCGAGCGAAUGGAUUAAGAGCUUGCUCUUAUGAAGUUAGCGGCGGACGGGUGAGUAACACGUGGGUAACCUGCCCAUAAGACUGGGAUAACUCCGGGAAACCGGGGCUAAUACCGGAUAACAUUUUGAACCGCAUGGUUCGAAAUUGAAAGGCGGCUUCGGCUGUCACUUAUGGAUGGACCCGCGUCGCAUUAGCUAGUUGGUGAGGUAACGGCUCACCAAGGCAACGAUGCGUAGCCGACCUGAGAGGUUGAUCGGCCACCCUGGGGCUGAGACACGGCCCAGACUCCUCCGGGAGGCAGCAGUGGGGAAUCUUCCGCAAUGGACGAAAGUCCGACGGAGCAACGCCGCGUGAGUGAUGAAGGCUUUCGGGUCGUAAAACUCUGUUGUUAGGGAAGAACAAGUGCUAGUUGAAUAAGCUGGCGCCUUGACGGUACCUAACCAGAAAGCCACGGCUAACUACGUGCCAGCCGCCGCCGUAA
rnacentral:rRNA from 1 species